UUACAAUCAGGGCUCGAGUCCUGCAGGAACGCAUUGGAACGGCGUUCCUGCACUUUUUCCAAAGCAGGAACGCCGUUCCCGUUACCUGUCCUGCAGGACCGGCCCUGCUACCUGCACAGAGGGGCCAGCACACGCUGUGUUCCCUCUCCAGCUAUAACUCUCGCGAGACCCGCAGCUGUUACCAUGGCAACGCUCCGCACAGGCGAGUCUCGCGAGAGUUAGAGCUCGAGAGGGA